ensembl:lncRNA
UCAGAGGCACAGGUGAGGAGCACAGGAGAAUGAAAGUAUACCUCUCUCCACAAACCUUGCCAUGCAUUCUAGAGCGCAUUGUAGCGAGACCUUAAUUUAGAACGAACUGAGAACAAAGGGAAGAGAAGGGCUGUCUUGAGCAAGCCUCAGUAUGCUUGCAAAUGGAGCUGAUAUGGAGCUAGAAGACCACAUUUAAAAAAAAAAAAAUAACAAAACAUCUAAAGCCAGUUCAAGUUCUGUGGGAGAGGGCACAAAACUACAGGGUUCCCACUUGGCAUGCGUCUCCCUCUCUAAGACAUUCUUGUGUAUAUCUAUUACUGCAUUUAAAAAUAUGAGUCGGUUGCCAAGGAAACAGGUUCCGGCCCAGUAUUAAUUUCAAACUAAAAUAUUUUUGAGGGGUUAGGCUCAAAGAAAAGAGCACACGAAAUGAUUUUUGAAAGAUGCCAGGAUUUGGCACUUGGAGAGCCACAACUGUUUUUCUGCAAUGAGCCAUUCUAGGGGUUUAGCUUCAUUUAAUGGGGCUCAGUUUCUGUUAAGAGGGCCACGGAAACUUAGCCUUUUUCCCUUAAAAAAAAAAAAUAACUCCCCGCCCAGCCCCCUGCUACAGGCACAAACAGUGGCUUUAUCCCUGUAUAUGACAAAAUAUGACUUUGAAAAGUUUACAUUUUCAUCGUUUGUAUAACACAGUUAAAGUCCGCGUCUUGGAGAUUAACAUUUUUGAUGGUUCCUUUUGAGGUUAUUUACGUUCUUUGAAAUUGUCUCCAGAAACCCACUUGAUUUUUAGUUUCAAACUAAAAUUGAGCCAAAUCACCAGACUCUUCAAAUUCUUCUUUUGUCUAAGUGGCGCCACACCUACCCCACUUUCACAGCAGAAUCACUUUGCAAGUCUAUGCUUAUCUCUAUGCAGGAUUUGAUAGGAGAAGCUAUUCGGUUUAGUGCCAUCCCCAAAUAUUACAAGCAUCUUAGUUAAUUUUUAAAAGUCACAUUUUUAAUGCAUCGGAUGCUGCAUGGUUCCAAAAAAAAAAAAAAAAAAAAAAGUCUGUAAAGCAUGCAAAUGCCAACGUACCUGUACGCACCACUCAGAGACCUGCUAGCAUGACAAGACCCUCGGCCAUCUUUAUGCAAGGCGAUGGAGACCGACUGAUUUCUCCGUCUUCUUGCUCACAAGUUUUAGAGAUGCGGUUGUCACACACACCAAAAAUUGUACGCUGAACAGCUUGAAAGCCUGUGAUCACGAGGACUGAAUUUAUCAACGGCAAAACAGGGACUGAAAAAACUAAGUUCCUUAUCCAAGGAUUCUCUGAGGCUGCCACCAAGGAGGUGCUGGGCUGAAUUUUUUUUUCUCUCUCCCUUACUCCUCUGAGAGUUCAAAGCUCAGAGCUGACCACUGCAAAGGCCACUGUCACAUUUGCUGAAAAUCAAACCACUGAGACCGGCUCUGCGAAUACGAACGUGAGAACCGGAGUUGCUUGCACAGGGCGCAGUGCCUGUGAGUUAAAAAUAGAGUCCACCUUGCCUCCUACCUGCAUAAUAAACAUGCAGUCGAAGGCAUUCCAUGCACUUAGGCAGUGCGGCUGCACGGUGAAUGAAUCGUCGAAUAAAUCGUCUGCUUCUGCAAAUCAAACAGUCCUUGUGCUAAGGAAGGAAGUCAGCUGGAGUGAAUACAGUCAUAUCCUCUUCUUGGAGAGAGCUUGCAAUGCAGUUCACAACCUACUAUCAAGAUACAGAAUCAGUGGUGACUACUGAGCCCAGUGAGUGCCUCCUCAGUCUGGGAUAAUAAAUGACAGUGACAGCAGCGGUCAUCCAUCCCAGGUUCCCUGGAGACGAGUUUUCUACCUAGUUCUGGCUGUCUGAAAGAUCGCUAUAGACCAGAGUCCCCUCAAGCUCAAGAGAUCUGCUUACUUUUGCCUCCUGAGUGUUGGGAUUUCAACUGUUCAUUUACUCCGAACUAAAAUCCAUUCUGUGUUCCCACUGCUGUGAUGUCAUUUGUCCAGAGACUCUCAUUGGAGCAGAGAUGUCUGUGUCGUAUUUGUCGACCUCCAGAACUAUAUGCUAAAUAAAUAUCUUAUUUAAUGAUGUCUCUACUUAUCAGAUGUUAUUUAUAGCAAUACAGAAUAUGACCAUAUACUAGCUCAGGGUUCCCUAACUAUUUCCUGUGUAAUAAACACCAAUGGAAUGAAUAUGUAUCAAACUAGACACGUGUUUGCAUGUGUAACAUAUAAGCAGGCCUCAGGUCCUGUAUGGCAUGUAUAUGAAUAUGAAGGGCACGU